CUGAAGUUGCCCAAAGCCAACGAAUCUUUCAGCAAAGAUUCCAGACCUUCCUCAAGGGCUCAGUCCAGCCCGUCACAGGCAUCGCAAGGCACUCCAUCCCGGCUUCCACUUCUGGCAUGUGACUCAGUCAGACUUCUCAGGCGCAGGGCUAAGAAGAGCAGGCAGAAAGAACCUGAGGAGAUGGAAGCAUCAACAUCUCAGGCUGAGGCCAGCCAGCCGCAGGAGUCCUCUGCCGACAGAGCUGGAUUGCUGCCACCGAUAAACGAAGAAACACAGUCUCCUCAGCGUCAGCCUCCAAACACCAAAGCCCCACCGCGCAGGAAGGGCGCACCCUACCCACGCUGAUGCGGGCAUGGGGCGCCCAUGAGCUCCAAGAGCUCCACUCGAGCUGGCUGCAAAACAGAUGCGUGAAUCCCAUCUGCAUCAUAUCUAAUCCUACACCAGGCUGACCAGGGCCCCAACCAACCUGGCCUUCAACACUGCCACGGACGUGGCGUCCACAAGCUCUCUGGGCAUCCACUUCCAGCAUCACACCAUCGUCUCUGGAAAGACCUUCUCCCUGACAUCCAAUCUUCAUUGUCCCUCCCUCUGUCAAUAAAGCCUUACCAUGGGCCUAUCCCAUAGAAAUCUCCACAAUGCCUGUGGCAGUGUCAUUGCAUCUUUGGACGCCAGCUCUGGUGCUGGCGGAGGGAGAAAGAAUUGUGAGAGGGCAUCAGAACAUCUCACGAUGCUUUCCUUGAUGCCAAAGGAAAUCCAGCGUCUCACUUGGCUCGGCUGUCUGAGCUUUUCUGCUGAAGGGGAAGACCAAAAAUGAAGUCAGCUUCAAAUUGGUGCGGCAGCUCAGAGCUCUCAGAGGAUACCAGGGAUCCUUGGGAGGCCCUUUCCAAGUGGAAGAUUGCGUCCUAUAAAAAAAAUCACAGAAUCAUUGAAUCGUAGAAAUGCAUAGAAUCGUACAAUAACCACAGUGACCAUCAAGUUUCACUUCCCACCCCCCGCCCCGCUAUGUGCAGUAUUGCCAGCCACUAGACCAAAAUGCCCUGUGCCACAUCCAGCCUGGCCUUGAAUGCCUCCAGGGAUGGGGCAUCCACAACCUCCUUGGGCAACCUGUUCCAGUGCCUCACCAGUCUCUUGGGGAAAAACUUCAUUCUCAGAUCCAACUUAAACCUCCCCUGUCUCCCCUGAAGACCACUCCUGCAUGUCCUAUCACAACCCACCCUUGGAAACAGCCAUUCCCCCUCCUGCUUAGACGCUCCCUUUAAGUACUGGAAGGCCACCAGGAGGUCUCCAUGGAGCCUUCUCUUCUCCAAGCUAAACCAUCCCAGUUCCCUCCACCUUUCCUCAUACGAGAGGUGCUCCAGCCCUCUGACCAUCUUAGUGGCCCUCCUCUGGACCCACUCCAAAAACUUCCCGUCUUGCGGAGAAGAGAGAAUAAAGGUAAGACAGACGCUCAGAAGGACAAGAGCAAAAGCAGAGAAGAACAGGCACAGGUAAGAAAGAAGAGCAGAAGAGGAGGAGAAGAAAAAGAGAGGAUGAAGGUAAGAAAAACAAGCGGGCAGGGAGAAGAGCUGAAGAAGGGAUGAGUGGGUGCAGGUAAGACAGAACAGCAGAAGUGGAGAGGAGCUGAAGAGGAGAAGUAUGAAAAGUAGAGCAAAAGUAGAGGAGGUGGAAAGAGAGGAAAGAGGCAAGAGAGAAGAGAGGAAGAGCAGAGAAAGAACAGAGCAGUAGAGAAGAGCGGACAGUGCUGUGAAAAGAAGAACAGUGCCACAGAGCAGGUGAAG
rnacentral:lncRNA from 1 species